rnacentral:rRNA from 1 species
UACGUAGGGGGCAAGCGUUGUCCGGAUUUAUUGGGCGUAAAGAGCGUGUAGGCGGCCAAGCAGGUCAGCUGUGAAAACUCGAGGCUCAACCUCGAGACGUCGGUUGAAACCGCUUGGCUAGAGUCCGGAAGAGGAGAGUGGAAUUCCCGGUGUAGCGGUGAAAUGCGCAGAUAUCGGGAAGAACACCCGUGGCGAAGGCGGUUCUCUGGGCCUUACCUGACGCUGAGGAGCGAAAGCGUGGGGAGCGAACAGG